rnacentral:rRNA from 1 species
UACGGAGGGUGCGAGCGUUGUCCGGAAUCACUAGGCGUAAAGGGCGCGUAGGCGGCGCGGGGAGUCAACGGUGAAAGCUCGGCGCUCAACGCCGAGUCGGCCGUCGAUACUCCCGUGCUCGAGCACUGUAGAGGCAGGUGGAAUUCCGGGUGUAGCGGUGGAAUGCGUAGAGAUCCGGAAGAACACCGGUGGCGAAGGCGGCUCACUGGCCCGUAACUGACGCUCAUGCACGACAGCGUGGGGAUCAAACAGG